rnacentral:rRNA from 1 species
AUUCUUCGGAUGAAGUAUGAUAUGACUGAGUGGCGGACGGGUGAGUAACGCGUGAGUAACCUGCCCUUCAGAGGGGGAUAGCGUUUGGAAACGAACGGUAAUACCGCAUAAUGUAUUUUGACCGCAUGAUCGAAAUACCAAAGAUUUAUCGCUGAAGGAUGGACUCGCGUCUGAUUAGGUAGUUGGUGGGGUAACGGCCUACCAAGCCGACGAUCAGUAGCCGGACUGAGAGGUUGAUCGGCCACAUUGGGACUGAGACACGGCCCAGACUCC